CGACUGAGUGGCGGACGGGUGAGUAACGCGUGGGCAACCUGCCCCAUACAGGGGGAUAACAGUUAGAAAUAGGUGCUAAUACCGCAUAAUAGGGAAUACCGCAUGGUAAUCCUUUGAAAACUCCGGUGGUACAGGAUGGGCCCGCGUCUGAUUAGCCAGUUGGCGGGGUAACGGCCCACCAAAGCGACGAUCAGCAGCCGGCCUGAGAGGGUGGACGGCCACACUGGGACUGAGACACGGCCCAGACUCCUACGGGAGGCAGCAG
rnacentral:rRNA from 1 species